ACAGAGUGCCGCAUAAAAUCCGCUGCCCUAAUCUCCGUCAAGCUAGCGUUAGAGCCGGUCUCACUUGUCUGGUCGUGUGCGAGCGAAAUCGAUCAACUGAUCUGAUCAUCUGCCAAUAUAGUUUCCAUCUUCUCCUUUGAGAAUCCAAGGUUUUGAAGAUUGAAGCUACAAGUCAAGAUGCAUACAAGUUUUGAAGAUUGAAGCUACAAGUCAAGAUGCAUACAGGUUUUGAAGAUUAAAGCUACAAGUCAAAAUGCAAAUUUAGAAGAUGCACAAGUUCAUUAUUAUUUUGCUAGGGCUGUUAUACAAAACUUGAUAUCAUAGUCUAGCUCAGGAUGUUAGCUAGCUAAGUUUUUUUGUUACGGUGUUGAGUAAUAUUGAAACUAAUUAACAUCAUCAUGGGAUGUUAACUUGUUAUAUUAUAUUUUUAUAUCUAGAUUUUUCUAUAACAAUUUGAUAUUUAUUGGUAAAAACAACUUUUGGUGGUA